GCUACGGGAGGCAGCAGUAGGGAAUCUUUCACAAUGGGCGAAAGCCUGAUGGAGCAACGCCGCGUGCAGGAUGAAGGCCUUCGGGUUGUAAACUGCUGUUAUAAGCGAGAAAUAUGAUGGUAACUUAUGAAUAAGGCUCGGCUAACUACGGUCCAGCAGCCUAGGUCAUACGUAGGAUCCGAGCAUUAUCUGGAGUGACAGGGUGUAAAGAGUUAAGUAGGUGGCAUAAUAAGUAGCUAGUGAAAUCUGGUGGCUCAACCAUUCAGACUAUUAGCUAAACUGUUAAUCUCGAGACCGUUAGGGGUAACUGGAAUUUCUAGUGUAGGAGUGAAAUCCGGAGAUAUUAGAAGGAACACCAAUAGCGUAGGCAGGUUACUGGGACGGUUCUGACACUAAGGCACGAAAGCGUAGGGAGCAAACGGGAUUAGAUACCCCUGUAGUC
rnacentral:rRNA from 1 species